CGUGUCAAGCCUCCCGCUGGUCCAAACCACGCGUGUAUGGUGUGUGUGGGUUUGCCUGUGCGCGUGUCCUCCCACCGGUUAGCCACUCGGUGCAGCUCUGGACAGAGGAGAUUGGUGAUUUGGGUGGUGCUGGGUACGCCUCGGCUCCUUGCAGUACGUCGUGAUGUUCCGGCUGUCGGUGCUGCUUCCCGCGAUUGCUGCUUGGGGCGCUCUGCGCCACUGCUGUUCAGGUCAUCCGUCUCUCCCUUCCGUCUGCUCGAUCUACUGCUCUGCCCUGAUCUGGUUUGUAUUGUUUCAUCUGGUAUUGGAUUUGUUGUUUGCUGUCUUGGGCUGGGUUCAGUAUGGUGUUUCUCGAGCAACGAAGUCAUUGGAUUGGGCUCUGGUUUUUGUGAGAUGCCGCUUUCGUGCUUCAAUUGUUGUGGAGGGCGCCGUGCACUGCAGAGGAUGAGAUUGGCUGAUUGUUGUGGACUGAUGCUUCCCUUCAAGUUUAACUUGCUGCUUCAAUUGCCAACUUUGACAGGAGGAGAUUGAUCGGUGCACCCACCGCAUAGAGCCGAAGGAAGUGUGUCAAUCCAGCGAUACAUGGAGCCGGCCAGCAACCAGCGACGCAGCCACCAUUGUCUUACCUGCUCUAAGCACACACUCAAUUUUGUUUCAGAUGGAAUGCAUUCAGCAUACAUGGUGGAAGAGAGCUGCCCCCAGGCCCUCACUACUGAACAACCACGCCCACAACAAGGACAUGGAGAUCUUCGUCACAGGGCAAGUGAAGGCAAGAAAUAAGGUGCCAAAGGAUUUAAUUAGGCGAAGAUGAUUAGGCUCUAGUACACACCGAGUGCAUCCAUAAGAGUCUACAUUAAAAUACUACAGAAGGGUUGAUGAUGUAUCUAUGGAUAUUAUACUGACUGAUAGUCCAUGGUUCAUUUGAGCUCACUUUGGCGCGAAUGUGGUGAUGAAGGAGAGCAAAAAGGAAAAAUAUGCUACGGUUUAUCUUGCAGCUCAAUUUUCAUACCCUUCCCAGGCCAUCGUUGUCGGUCAGAGGAAGGGGCGGUCUCCAUCUGGUCGAACCUGGUGUGCGCGGCAAGGUAGCUAUGUAUGGAGGGAGAGGCAAUUUGGGGACGACUUCUUGAUGAGUAGAAUUUACUAAGCAAUUAGAUCAAAUACGUAUAUAUAUUUAAUGCAAUGCUCUGUUCGGUAUCUGAAUGCUCAAGUUGGAAAGUUGUGUCAGCUUGACAAUUGUGAAAUCCCUGCUGGAAAAGUACUACAUUGAUCUCAAGCUAAUUGGCCGCCUUGAGGUUGGUAGCGAGACAGUGAUAGACAAAAGUAAAUCCAUCAAAACGUGGCUAAUGCAAUUUUUAGAGGAAACUGGUAAUACCGACAUCGAGGGAGUUUGACUCCAGUAAUGCAUGUUAUGGUGGAACAACUUCCCUCUUGAAUUGGUGUGACUUCGGUCCAAAGUCCAUGCUGGGAUGAACGUUACGGCCUUGUAGUCUGCACAGAUAGCACGGUUUAUGCAGAGGGACCAGCUCGACCUGGUGGAGCUGCUGCAGUUGCUAUGCUUAUUGGUCCAAAUGCACCUAUUUCUUUCGAAAUCAAAUAUAGAGCUUUUCACAUGACUCAUGUUUACGAUCUCUACAAGCCUCAUCUUGCAAGUGAAUAUCAGACCAAAAGUUCAAUCAAGAAUUUGGGAUCUGAACAAUAUUGCCUAAUACCCAGUUAUACAAGGAUCAAGUUUCAGAGAAUCAGAGAUCAACAACUUGCUAGUUGACCACUCGUCGCACAAUGUAAUUUACCCGCAAACUGACAGGCAUCAAUGCUACAGUUUGGAAGAAAAAGAGUGCUCCCUGGACUGUCAGGUUGUGUGAUCCUUUUGCUUGCAAACCAAAGCUACAAGAGCGUUCAGCCAUUGGAGCUGACGCUCAAGCUCCACGCCAAUGUGAAGAGCGCUAAGGCCGUAAACACAUAAUUAAGCAAUGCACACCUCAACUUACAAGACGACAUGAAGGAUAAAUAUCAAUCUUUUAGCAGAUAAAUUUAAGACUUAAACGCUCUGAAUUUCUUCAUUUGCACAAAAAAUGGUAUUGCAAGGCAGAUCAUUUUAUCUGUACAGUCAGCUCUCCAAAAGCACCCUAAAUUUCAGUGUAGAAUCAAAAUUGCUAAGAAUACCUGGAAUGGAAAUUCUUAGUGGCACAUGUAAGCUUUGCAGAUUGUUUGGUUUUUAAAUCUAUUAUUUUCUGAUAUAGAUUGCGAUAAUUUUGCAUUGAUGAUUGGUACUAGUACUUGUCAGUCCAACCAUUUACUACAGAACUCACAUAUGUACUGAUUAAGAGCUAGCUUAUAUGGAGCAAAAAUCAAGAAUUACCAGCACAGUCAAAGCAAACACCAGAAUAAAAUUUGAAGCAGCAUGUCAGUAAACAAAUUGCCACGAACAAAACAAAGCUAGAUGGAAGAACGGAGCUGAUGUGUGGAGGCGGCAGAGAGGCGACGGGGAGUAUGCAGGGUGGCAAGGGAGCCAGGGGGUGUUUGUGAGCUCUGUUCAGGGAGUUUAAAAGGAGCAAUUGUCCCAGCAUACAAAGCAGCAGCAAGAAAACCCAUAUAACAAAACAACAUGUGCUGGUAUUUUCCAAGUUUUCUGCAAGGGGUAUGUCUUUCAGGGAUCUUUCAGACGGCAUGCUACUCUUCAGAAACAUUGGGGCCAAUCAGCUCCGUUGCUCAUAUCUUUAGUAAUAACUUCAUGCGCAGAGUGAAUGUUCAUGCUGAUAAGGCAUUUGCAGAACAAAUAUUCUGAGUUAUUUCCUUGUGAGGAGAUUAUAAGAAAAACAUCAGAAACACUCCCACAGUCCCACACUCAGUUCGAGGCAGCACCCACAAUUGGUCAGUUUUAUUUACCUCAUCGUACAUAACCAGACAAUGAACAAGCUUAUUUGUAGAACCUAAAAAUUGAGUUACUAAGAAGCUGUUAUACUGAGUAGUGAGCUACUACAAUGGGACCAUGGAGUAACUGGGCCGAAUCAGCAUACAUUCUGUAUCAAAACGAAUUCACAUACUAAGUUGGUUUCGAUAGCUACACCCCACAGAGUUAUCUUCGGAUUUACAAGACUCCAGACGUGUAUUUUGACAAAUUGGAACACUCAAAACAGAAACAAAUUCCAACCAUGACCUUGCAAACAAUAUCAGAAGACUGUUUUAUGUAAACAUGGUAUUAUUCCUAUUCUCCUUGUCCAGCACCAAAUACAAAUCCAGUUGUAACCAUCAGUAGAUUGGCCCUGCAAUCACAAACAUCAGAAGCAAAAAAAUGAAAAACAGAACAUUGGUUAUGAAACAGUGUAGUGAUCAAGGUGGCCUCAGACCGUCCUAGUUCAGAAGUGUCGUCAUUGUACAGACAAUCUAUGUUG